UGAACAGUCUCACUGAGGUCUCCCCUGAGCCUCCUCUUCUCCAGGCUGAACAUCCCCAGCUCCCUCAGCCUUUCUUCAUAGGAGAGGUGAGAUCUGGGGAGCUGAUCGUGGGACCUUUCCACCGUUGGCUGCUCCAGAGCUGACCAAAGCCAUGCUGUUCGUCCCCACGUGGGAUUACGCCACGCGGUUUCUCUUGCCUCCUUGAGCAGUCCGUGAGCCAGGCGAUGGGGACAGGGGAAGCAGGAUCUGCGAUACCCAGUGCUGCUGUGACCGGCUGGCACGCCUCCGGCUUUGAGCUGGGAUGGCGUGGAGGCUCCAGAGCUCCCAGAGGACUCGCGUUCCCCGUGUGCUGUCCUUGCCCAGCUCCUGGAGGAGGCAGCGCUGCCCGCAGCUUGCCAGAAGGUGGCACUCCAGCCCCGCGGCUGCCUGCACCCAGGUGCCUGCAGCACGUAGGUAAGGGUGGGCACCCGCUGAGGUGGGCAGGAGCCAGCUCCCCUGCAGAGCCUGGGGGAGAGGAGGGUGCCUAAAAGCACACGGACUGAGUUGCGGCAAGAACUCGGCUACGCAGCAGCCCCAAAGCAAGGUCUUUGUCCCAAAGCUACUUGCUGUCACUGAUUUCUGUCCGGUGGUGCUCCUUUCCCCAGUGACUUUCCUGGCUCCGAUCCUCUCCGUGGCAGCACUGCGUUGUCAGUACCAAAAUAUUGAGGAAGUUGGCUGACUUCCCUCUUGUUUUUUCAGGUUCUAGCUGUAGUUGGCUUCCUGUGCCACUGUGCAUCGCUGCAAGGAGGAACUCAACUUACUGAGAACUCAACUUAUUGAGCCUUCCACGGCCCCUACAAAACACCUGCUAGCUCUGUGCCUCGCUGUGCAGCUCCUCGCUGGAUGACUGCUGGUGCUUCCCUGUGUUUUUCAGUUGACCGUAGUAGGUCUGAAUGAUGGGCACAAGGUGGUUGUUAGCUUCUCUGCUCCAACACAAAUAAUUGACUGUUUGGCUGAGGGAAUGUGGCGACGUUCUGUAGGGCAGCAACAAACAGGCACUGGCAGUUCAUUUGGGCAAAUGCAACAACCUGAAGGAUCUUUUCCAAUGCUGUUGUGGUGAAAACUGUACUAUGCUGUUUUCAACUAGUUGUUCAGACCUUGGUGGAGGUGGGAUUGGGAAGGAAAAAUUACCAUAGCAGCUGGGGAUCCUGCAAUAAAAGGUUUAUGAGCCUUUUCUGGCAGAGACGGUUUUGGCAGAGCAGCACAGGUUCCUGACAAACAGCUUCCCUGUUUGCAGGGAGUGCAAAGUUGAACUGAUAAGCCAAGUUCUUGGAGGGGUUAUGCAACAUUCAAAAUAAGAGGGCACAAAACUAAUGGUCUGGAAAUGAUCACAGGCUUGUGUCCUCCGGAUGGUAGCAUCAGAACUGCAUCUGCUCUCCUGCUUACCCGUGGGACAGCACUCACACCAGUUUCCCAGAAUGAGUGUCCGUGAAGCUAACUGGGUUGUGCGCCUGAGUGGUGGCUGCAGGAGUCGUCUUUGAAAACUGUGUAGCCGUGGGUGUCCGCUUUGGAAAGGGCAGCGUGUUCUUUGAAAGGUGGAUUUCACUGUGUGUUGUGCUUUAUUCCCAAGCCUGUAGCACCUGGAGAACAUUUCAUUUCGCCAGUUCAUUUAAUCUGGGACACCAUAACCCUACUUCUACUGACCAGCGCUGUUCUUCGCUUGGAAGGUGUUAGCAUGGUGCCUGGCAAGCACACCGAGCUGCAGCAAUCAUCAGAAAAGCCAGCAAAGCAUUAUUAAAGUGAGUCCAGGAGUUGGACUCGAUGAUCCCUGCGGGUCCCUUCCAAUUUGGAUAUUCUGUGAUUAUUGUUGGUGGUAAUAAAGAUGCAGCAAAGUGGUAGUGAUGAGCUCCAGAUGUAAGCCCACGUUUCAUUAACAAACAUAAAUCUUCCCAACGAAGCUUUGCAGCCCUGAGAAGGCGCCCUAGCAGGCAAGCUGUAGGUGAUUAGGUGAGAACACAUCACCUUGCACUACACCCACAUCCACACUGAUGCUGUUUCAUCCAGAGGCAGCGUGUGGAUUUAACUGCCUUCUCUGGCUUUGCUUAAAGCUGAUUCCCUCUGCUUAUUCUGCAGCCUGCAGGAAGGGUUCUUGCCCUUGCCUCCUGUU